rnacentral:rRNA from 1 species
GACGAACGCUGGCGGCGUGCCUAAUACAUGCAAGUAGGACGCAGUUGCGAACGGGUGAGUAACGCGUCGGUAACUGCCAAUUAGAGGGGGAUAACUAUUGGCAACGAUAGCUAAUACCGCAUACUAGUAGAUGGACCUGAGUUGUAUUAGUUAGUAGGUAGGGUAAUGGCCUACCUAGGCGACGCUACAUAGCCGACUUGGGAGGGUGAUCGGCCACACUGGGAUUGAACCACGGCCCAGCCUCCUCCGGGAGGAAGCAGGAGGGAAUCUUCGGCAAUGGACGAAAGUCUGACCGAUAAAGGCCGCGGAAGUGAAGAAGGUUUUCGGAUCGUAAAACUCUGUUGUUAGAGAAGCGGUAUCUAACCAGAAAGCCACGGCUAACUACGUGCCAGCCGCCGCGGUAAUAC